rnacentral:rRNA from 1 species
CGAACGGGUGAGUAACGCGUGAGGAACCUGCCUCAAAGGGGGGACGAACAGUUGGAAACGGCUGCUAAUACCGCAUAAGCCCACGGCUCGGCAUCGAGCAGAGGGAAAAGGAGCAAUCCGCUUUGAGAUGGCCUCGCGUCCGAUUAGCUAGUUGGUGAGGUAAUGGCCCACCAAGGCAACGAUCGGUAGCCGGACUGAGAGGUUGAACGGCCACAUUGGGACUGAGACACGGCCCAG